GGGUCAAGGCUUCGAACGCCUCCCAAGGAGGUGCAUCCCUGCAAGAGGCUGCAUCCAGCAGUCAUGGAAGAGGCUCCCCUGGGGCCUGCUCCAAUUCCUGCUGGGGAAAUCAAGUGGAGGUGCCCCUUGAAGAAAUGGUGAGGCCACCAAUUUCAGGGGUUCUGUCCUGGCCUGCGGCCCUGGAUCGUCCAGCCUCUGCUGGGAUGGGGAGCAGAUGACGCCCUUCUUGGCUGGAGCUGAGGGUGGGGGUCCCGCUUCCCCAAAGGCCUAGCCCUGGAUUCCAGCCACAGGUCCUACUGGGCAGCACCUGGCGCCGCCCCGCCCCUCCAGGCCUGGCACUCGCCCUUAAGAAACAUGGCGGCGAUGGCCUCACGCACCUCACGCCGCAGGCGCGUCACGCCACAGGCCAGCAAGGCUUCCUGUGUGCCACUCUCCUCCCCUCAGACUGGCUGCCAAAACAGGGAGCGGUAAGUAUGACCUGGCUGGUGGCGGUGUCCUGGGCGGCUCUGGGGCCGCUGUUGUGUGGCUGCCCGCAGGCGCUGCAGGGCGGGAUGCUGUACACCAGGGAGAGCGCGUCGCGGGAGCGCAAGGAACUCCAUGGCCUCUGAAGCUUCCAAGCCCACUUCUCCGACAACCGACGCCUGGGCUUCCAGGAGCAGAGGUACCGGCGACCGUUGGGAGAGGCGCCCAGAAGCCUGGCGUUGGGAAUGGCGGGAUCCGCACUGUGGCUGUCACUGAGAGCCCAUUCCUCAUCAAUGGGAAACCUUUCUAUUUCCACGGAGUCAAGAAGCAUGAGGAUGUAGACGUGCACUGCGGCUCCUGGGUCCUCGUGGGGGCUGCUUCUGGUCACCUUCCACUUUUGCCUUCCCU
rnacentral:lncRNA from 1 species